rnacentral:rRNA from 2 species
UUGACCUCGGAUCAGGUAGGAUACCCGCUGAACUUAAGCAUAUCAAUA